rnacentral:rRNA from 1 species
GUGGGGAAUAUUGGACAAUGGGCGAAAGCCUGAUCCAGCAAUGCCGCGUGAGUGAUGAAGGCCUUAGGGUUGUAAAGCUCUUUUACCAGGGAUGAUAAUGACAGUACCUGGAGAAUAAGCUCCGGCUAACUCCGUGCCAGCAGCCGCGGUAAUACGGAGGGAGCUAGCGUUGUUCGGAAUUACUGGGCGUAAAGCGCACGUAGGCGGUUACUCAAGUCAGAGGUGAAAGCCCGGGGCUCAACCCCUGAACUGCCUUUGAAACUAUGUAACUGGAAUCUUGCAGAGGUCAGUGGAAUUCCGAGUGUAGAGUUGAAAUUCGUAGAUAUUCGGAAGAACACCAGUGGCGAAGGCGACUGACUGGACAAGUAUUGACGCUGAGGUGCGAAAGCGUGGGGAGCAAACAGGAUUAGAAACCCGUGUAGUCC